UGGGCGCAAGCCUGAUGCAGCCAUGCCGCGUGUGUGAAGAAGGCCUUCGGGUUGUAAAGCACUUUCAGUCGUGAGGAAGGUAGUGUAGUUAAUAGCUGCAUUAUUUGACGUUAGCGACAGAAGAAGCACCGGCUAACUCCGUGCCAGCAGCCGCGGUAAUACGGAGGGUGCGAGCGUUAAUCGGAAUUACUGGGCGUAAAGCGCAUGCAGGUGGUUUGUUAAGUCAGAUGUGAAAGCCCGGGGCUCAACCUCGGAAUUGCAUUUGAAACUGGCAGACUAGAGUACUGUAGAGGGGGGUAGAAUUUCAGGUGUAGCGGUGAAAUGCGUAGAGAUCUGAAGGAAUACCGGUGGCGAAGGCGGCCCCCUGGACAGAUACUGACACUCAGAUGCGAAAGCGUGGGGAGCAAACAGGAUUAGAUACCCUGGUAGUCCACGCCGUAAACGAUGUCUACUUGGAGGUUGUGGCCUUGAGCCGUGGCUUUCGGAGCUAACGCGUUAAGUAGACCGCCUGG
rnacentral:rRNA from 1 species